rnacentral:rRNA from 1 species
GUCCACAGCCACAUCACCCUGCAGCCCAAGACUGGUUACUCACUGAAGCUAAGCAGGGCUGAGCCUGGUCAGUACCUGGAUGGGGGACCACAUGGGAAAGGUUGCUGUUGGAA